rnacentral:rRNA from 1 species
CCCUUAGAGUUUGAUCCUGGCUCAGGACGAACGCUGGCGGCGUGCUUAAAACAUGCAAGUCGAACGAGACCUUUGGUCUAGUGGCGAACGGCGGAGUAAUACAUAAGCAACCUGCCUCAAAGACCGGGAUAGCCCCUCGAAAGAGGGAUUAAUACCGGAUGUGGCCUUUUGUGGGCAUCCACGAAAGAUUAAAACGAGUAAUCGGCUUUGAGAGGGGCUUGUGGCCUAUCAGCUUGUUGGUGGGGUAAUGGCCUACCAAGGCUUCGACGGGUAGCGGGUCUGAGAGGAUGAUCCGCCCGACUGGGACUGAGACACGGCCCAGACUCCUACGGGAGGCAGCAGUUGGGAAUCUUGCACAAUGGGCGAAAGCCUGAUGCAGCGACGCCGCGUGGAGGACGAAGUCUUUCGGGAUGUAAACUCCUUUUGCCAGGAACGAUAAUGACGGUACCUGGUGAAUAAGCCCCGGCUAACUACGCGCCAGCAGCCGCGGUAAGACGUAGGGGGCGAGCGUUGUCCGGAUUUACUGGGCGUAAAGAGCGCGUAGGCGGCCUAUUAAGUCAGGUGUGAAAUCUCCAGGGCUCAACCCGGAAACUGCACUUGAUACUGUUAGGCUGGAGUGUCGGAGAGGUGAUUGGAAUUCCUGGUGUAGCGGUGACAUGCAUUGAUA